AUCGAGAUCUCUGCAAGCUCUGGAUGCCCUGCACUUCUCUCUGCCUGAUACUCUGGCAAUGACUAGCUCCAAUCUUGACCUACAUAGCAUUUCAUGAUACCAUGAAUUUGAAAUUUCAGUGACUGCUUAGCAAAGGAAAUGUGAAGCAACUAAAAUUUAGUUUUAUCCUAAAAUGCUAAGUAUAACUUCAGAUCAUUAUGGUUUAAAUGCAUGCACACUUUAGCAUUUCUCUGCAUCAAACUAAGUGCUUACUGUCUUCCAUAUUGCCCUUCUUCCCUUCUCUCAACCAUUCUUCUUUUUUCUAAUAAAUUAUGGUCAACCAGAAAAGUACCUCCAACCUCUUCUCCAAAAUCUUUUCAUGAAUUCACAUUUUCUGGAUAUAAGGCACUUUCUGAGAACCUGGACAUUCACUAAGUAACUCUGAGCAUUACCUGCCAAGUGACCUCUUCUGGGUGUCCACUAAAACUUGAGAUGUACCUGUCAACCAGGAGGCCUAUCUGCUGAGAAGGAGUGGGGCCAAGAAAAGCAAAGUCCUGCAGGGCAGCAGGGAGCCUUCCUAGAUAGUGGAUGCAGUCUUUCUCAGGUCCACACAGCUGGUCAUUGGCAACCCCCGGCCCCAAGAGAUACCUGAGGUGCAAAGGAGUGAGUCUAACAUUAUGUGCAACGGGAUCCACCUUCUCUGAGAAGCCUACACCCCACAUGGGACAAUCCAGUUAAAUGGUCACCAUGCUCAGAGGAGCCCCUAGCAUGAGCUACCAAUAAGUGUAUGUGUAGAUAAAUAUAUGCUCCUGGCAAGUGCAUCCUUAUCUUAAUCACUGUGGCCUAGUAACAGCUGAUGCUCUACCUUUGUCAGACCUCAAAAGGAACAGAACCAGAAAGGUAUUUGUCUCUUCAGAAGGGUGAAAGUUUUACCCAACUUACAAUAUAGAAUAUCACAAAAAUUGCC
rnacentral:lncRNA from 1 species